rnacentral:lncRNA from 1 species
GGAAUCUAAGUACCCAUAUCAUUGGAGCUUUGGGAUCACCCUUAUACCUAUGGCAAAGUCUGAGAAGCCAUAUGGUUUACCCUUAUAAGAGCUUAAAUAUAAGACUAUAUCUUUGUUUUGUACCACCAAUAACCAAUCUUGCAUGGUGUAAAUAUGAAUAAAACACCCCCUCCAUCCAAAAAAUUAUUUUUGUAAAAACCAAGGGCAUGGACAUGAAUAAUUUUUUUAAAAUGCUUUACCUCUUUUGGUGACUCCAAAGUCCUUCAUUGGUUGUAUAUGGUAAAUAGCUCCUUUUGUCUCUAUGAAGAAAUGCAAUUGAGCCUCCUUGAAAAGUUUGCAUGUCAUGCAGUGAGCUUAGUUAUUAUACUCUCAUGCUUACUUGUAUUAUCUAGAACUUGCCCCGUCAUCUCUCUAAGCUAAUU